rnacentral:rRNA from 1 species
AGGACGAACGCUGGCGGCGUGCUUAACACAUGCAAGUCGAGCGGAAGGGCCCUUCGGGGUACUCGAGCGGCGAACGGGUGAGUAACACGUGAGUAACCUGCCCCAAACUUUGGGAUAACCCUCGGAAACGGGGGCUAAUACCGAAUAUUACUUCUGGUCGCAUGGCUGGUGGUGGAAAGUUUUUUCGGUUUGGGAUGGACUCGCGGCCUAUCAGCUUGUUGGUGAGGUAAUGGCUCACCAAGGCGAGGACGGGUAG